rnacentral:rRNA from 1 species
UACAGAGGUCUCAAGCGUUGUUCGGAUUCAUUGGGCGUAAAGGGUGCGUAGGUGGCGCUGUAAGUCGGGUGUGAAAUUUCGGAGCUUAACUCCGAAACUGCAUUCGAUACUGCGGUGCUUGAGGACUGGAGAGGAGACUGGAAUUCAUGGUGUAGCAGUGAAAUGCGUAGAGAUCAUGAGGAAGACCAGUGGCGAAGGCGGGUCUCUGGACAGUUCCUGACACUGAGACACGAAGGCCAGGGGAGCAAAAGGCAUGGAUGA